AGAGAGCGAGAAAGAGAAAGAAAGAAAGAAAGGGAGAGAGGACCCUGAAAAUGAAUGGGUAGAGAUUUCAAAUUCUCCUUCUUCUCCUUCUUCUCCUUCUCCUUCUUC
rnacentral:ribozyme from 13 species